rnacentral:rRNA from 1 species
GACGAACGCUGGCGGCGUGCUUAACACAUGCAAGUCGAACGGAAAGGCCCUGCUUGCAGGGUACUCGAGUGGCGAACGGGUGAGUAACACGUGGGUGAUCUGCCCUGCACUUCGGGAUAAGCCUGGGAAACUGGGUCUAAUACCGGAUAGGAGCCAUUUUUAGUGUGAUGGUUGGAAAGUUUUUUCGGUGUAGGAUGAGCUCGCGGCCUACCAGCUUGUUGGUGGGGUAAUGGCCUACCAAGGCGGCGACGGGUAGCCGGCCUGAGAGGGUGGACGGCCACAUUGAGACUGAGAUACGGCCCAGACUCCUACGGGAGGCAGCAGUGGGGAAUAUUGCACAAUGGGCGCAAGCCUGAUGCAGCGACGCCGCGUGGGGGAUGACGGCCUUCGGGUUGUAAACUCCUUUCGCUAGGGACGAAGCUUUUUGUGACGGUACCUAGAUAAGAAGCACCGGCUAACUACGUG